rnacentral:rRNA from 1 species
UACGGGGGGGGCAAGCGUUGUUCGGAAUUACUGGGCGUAAAGGGCUCGUAGGCGGCCAACUAAGUCAGACGUGAAAUCCCUCGGCUUAACCGGGGAACUGCGUCUGAUACUGGAUGGCUUGAGUUUGGGAGAGGGAUGCGGAAUUCCAGGUGUAGCGGUGAAAUGCGUAGAUAUCAGGAGGAACACCGGUGGCGAAGGCGGUUCUCUGGGCAUUACCUGACGCUGAGGAGCGAAAGUGUGGGGAGCGAACAGG